rnacentral:rRNA from 1 species
GACGAACGCUGGCGGCGUGCUUAACACAUGCAAGUCGAACGGCAAGGCCCUGCUUGUGUGGUGUGCUCGAGUGGCGAACGCGUGAGUAACACGUGAGUAACCUGCCCUUGACUUUGGGAUAACUUCAGGAAGCUGGGGCUACUACCGUAUAGGAGCUCCUGCUGCAUGGUGGGGGUUGGAAAGUCUCGGCGGGUGGGGAUGGACUCGCGGCUGAUCAGCUUGUUGGUGGGGUAGUGGCUUACCAAGGCUUUGACGGGUACCCGGCCUGAGAGGGUGACCGGGCACAUUGGGACUGAGAUACGGACCAGACUCCUACGGUAGGCAGCAGUCGCGAAUAUUGCACAAUGGGCGGAAGCCUGAUGCAGCAACGCCGCGUGCGGGAUGACGGCCUUCGGGUUGUGAACCGCUUUCGCCUGUGACGAAGCGUGAGUGACGGUAAUGGGUAAAUAAGCACCGGCUAACUACGUG